AGGUAAUUCAAAUGUUGUGUUUGAAUUACCUCCCUUACACUGCUUUAAAUUAUGUUUUGUACUUAAGUUAUUGUCCAUUAACCAGGACACCCUAGUUUUCCCCCCUUUUUUGCCCCUAAUUCCGAAACGGUUUGAGCCAUAACCCCUCAAAACCAAUUCUUACCAUCCCUUUGUGGUAUGGAAACUUGUGGUAUAAUUUCAGAGAGAUCCAUACACCAUUCCACAAGUUAUUGUCUGGAAACUAGAAAAAUGCUUAUUUGGGCCCCUUUUUGGCCCCUUAUUCCUAAACUGUUGGGACCAUUACCCCAAAAUCAAUCCCAACCUUCCUUUUAUGGUCAUAAACCUUGUGUUUAAAUUUCAUAGAUUUCUAUUUACUUAUACUAAAGUUAUUGUAUGAAAACCAAAUGUCUUCAGACGACGCGGACAAUGACGACGUGAUACCAAUAUACGACCGCAAUUUUUUUUGCGGUCGUAUAAAAAUUAUCAGCCAAACAAGACCUACAAUUAAGUCAAAUGUCAGAAAUUGUCAGACGACUCCUUAUUAGAGUUAUUGCCCUUAAAUGACAAAUUUUCUUAGGUUAUCAUUUUUUUUUCAUUUUUGCCUUUUAUCUUGAAAACUAUAAUGAAUAAAUAGAAACUGUAAACCGCAAUAAUGAUCAGGAAGACAAGAUCUAAUAAUAAUAUAGCAUGGCAUAAAUCAUUUGUUGACUCCUUUUAUCAGUUAUUGCCCCUAAAUGACUACAAUUACCAUGUUGUGCGUAUUUGCCUAUUACCUUGAAAGUCAUAUAGGAAUCAGGGCCCAAGUUUAUUUAGUUAUCAGUUGAUUCCUUAUAGGAGUAAUUGAAAAGAAGCUUUGGUAAUAAUUCAAUAUAUGACAGAAGUUGUCCAGCAACUCACAAGAUUAUUUGCCAAUAAAUGCAUAGUUGCCAACUGACAUGAUAUUCGCGUGUAAUACACGCUUUUUCAACGGUUUACACGCAAGGAUUUUAUCACAUGGCGUGUACACGCUUUUCACCACUUUACACGCAAUUACACGCUUUUUCGUUGUUUUGAUUUUUUUGUUGUUAGUGAUAUCGCGAUUCUCGGGUUUUUUCAUUAUAACACGAUAAAUACCGAAAUUUCGAAGUAAUUGUUAGGUGGCCAUAUUGUUUAUUUUUCUAUAUGGACGAACAGCAAAAGCUCUUAAGUUUCAAAUGUAGCCAACAGAUUUCCACAGGCCAUAGGGGAUGGAAAUAUCACGGAACUGUUGGAUCAGUUCUCAUAGUAUUAGCUGUCUUCUGAUGAACUACCCAGUUUUGACCAGGCAAUAGCAACAUAUAUUGUAUAGUUUGUUGGGAGCAAUGGUAGAGAUCAUAGAUGACAUUUUAGAUGGCAAAAAAACAUUAUGACACUCUUUCAAAGCUUCAUGAAGCAAUUUUAGUUCAGCCAAAUAUCAAUUCUGACUGUGAGAGAUCAUUUUUCAAUUAUAAAGAAAUUUACACUGAUUUCUGAUCAGAACUCGACAAUGAUAUAUUGUGUGCCUUGUUAUCAAGUAAAUGUAUCGAAACCAGCAGGUGUUUUGACUAUGUGCCUAGUGGUGUUGCUUUAAAAGCAGCAAAACAGACCACUGUUGAAAACAAUAAAAGUUUACAGUUGAA